AUUGAACGCUGGCGGUAGGCCUAACACAUGCAAGUCGAACGGAAGAACAGUGAUUGCUUCUGCUUACGGCGGCGGAGUGGCGGGUAGUGGAUAGGAACAUCGCUAUCUGCUUGUUCUUGCGGGAGAACGUAGGCAAACAUACGCCAAUACCGCAGACGACCUACGUGUGAAAGCUUCGGAUCUUCCGAUCUCGCGUGAUCGAAGGAGCCGAUGUCGGAUUAGCUAGUUGGCGGGGUAAAGGCCCACCAAGGCGACGAUCCGUAGCUGGUCUGAGAGGAUGAUCAGCCACACUGGAACUGAGACACGGUCCAGACUCCUACGGGAGGCAGCAGUGGGGAAUAUUGGACAAUGGGCGAAAGCCUGAUCCAGCCAUGCCGCGUGGGUGAAGAAGGCCUUCGGGUUGUAAAGCCCUUUUGUUGGGGAAGAAAAGCAGCAGGUUAAUACCUCGCUGUUCUGACGGUACCAAAAGAAUAAGCACCGGCUAACUUCGUG
rnacentral:rRNA from 1 species